CUACGGGGGGCAGCAGUGGGGAAUAUUGGACAAUGGGGGAAACCCUGAUCCAGCAAUGCCGCGUGUGUGAAGAAGGCCUGCGGGUUGUAAAGCACUUUCGGUCGGGAGGACUGCUUCUAGCACUAAUAUUGUUGGAAGUUGACGUUACCUUCAGAAGAAGCACCGGCUAACUCCGUGCCAGCAGCCGCGGUAAUACGGAGGGUGCAAGCGUAAUCGGAAUUACUGGGCGUAAAGCGCGCGUAGGCGGCUAGAUCAGUCGGGUGUGAAAGCCCCGGGCUUAACCUGGGAACUGCAUCCGAUACUGUCUAGCUUGAGUACAGGAGAGGAGAGUGGAAUUCCACAUGUAGCGGUGAAAUGCGUAGAUAUGUGGAGGAACACCAAUGGCGAAGGCAGCUCUCUGGCCUGAUACUGACGCUGAGGUGCGAAAGCGUGGGGAGCAAACAGGAUUAGAUACCCGUGUAGUC
rnacentral:rRNA from 1 species